CACGGUGUGAUUCAUGACUGGGGUGAAGUCGUAACAAGGUAACCCUAGGGGAACCUGGGGUUGGAUCACCUCCUUACCUUAAUGA
rnacentral:rRNA from 1 species